CUCACAAGAGUGAACUAGCUAACUGAAAUCAAAGGAGUGUCUUCUUUGAUAAAAUAUAGAUAAAUAAUGAUUUCUAUAUCAAUAGUGUUGUCCAAAACUGGUGCCAGAAGACUCGGUAAUACCAGAGACGCGAACGUUAGUCAUCUUUAACAGGCGUAAAGAAUUCGCAGGCGUCUUCGAAAGCUUAUACUUUUUAAUAGUCUACCACCCUUUCCCCUUGCGUUAUGCACGAGGGAGGGGAGGGUUAAAAAAGAAUAAGUGAUUUGAAGAUAGAAUCUAAUAGAGGAUGUAAAAAAUACUGAGAGUAGGGUUAAAAUCCGCAAAACCUUGGUGGAAUUUCAAUGGCGAAGGCUAUUCAUCUAGUUACAGAUUGACGCUGAGGAAUGAAGGUGUGGAUACCGAAAGAGAUUAGAGACCUCAUUAGCCCACACAGUCAACGAUGUAUGGUANUCUGCUAAUAUAUUAAAUAUUGGUGGCGAAGUUAACGCGUUUACCAUACCGCCUUGCGAGUACGACUGCAAAGUUGAAAUCUAAAAAAUUAGUCGGUCUCGAAGCAAACGAAGUGAAGCAUGUUAUUUAAUUCGAUAACCGCCAAA
rnacentral:rRNA from 1 species